GCAUAUCAAUAAGCGGAGGAAAAGAAAAUAACAAUGAUUCCCCUAGUAACUGCGAGUGAAGAGGGACAAGCUCAAAUUUUAAAUCUGUCGGGUUCUACCUGACCGAGUUGUAAUUUGAAGAGGCGUUUUCUGUGUUUCUGAUCAGUCCAAGUCCUUUGGGAUAAGGCAUCACGGAGGGUGAGAAUCCCGUUCGGUCGAUCAGAUUCGCUUUACGAUACGUCAUCAAAGAGUCAAGUUGUUUGGGAUUGCAGCUUAAAAUGGGAGGUAAAUUUCUCCUAAGGCUAAAUAACGGCGAGAGACCGAUAGCGAACAAGUACCGUGAGGGAAAGAUGAAAAGAACUUUGAAAAGAGGGUUAAAUAGUACGUGAAAUUGUUGAAAGGGAAACGAUUGAAGCCAGUCGUACCUGCGGGUAAUCAGCCUUUUGGGCAUGAUUCUGUGGAGCGUGAGGAGUUAAACGCCUUCAUGCCUGCAUAUUCGUGUACUUUGGGUGUACUUGCCUGUGUGGUUAGUUAACAUCAAUUUUGGUUAUCAUAAAAUGGCUGGAGGAAUGUAGCUUCGAUUUCGAUUGAAGUGUUAUAGCCUUCGGCAGAUGUGAUGAUCGGGAUUGAGGAUUGCAACGGAUACCCUUCGGGGCUACCUGUCUGAUCUCUGAUCGUUGCUCUGGUGCCGAAAGCGUGCUUACGGUUAUCAAAGUCGAUGGUUAAUAGGUUAGAACGGGUUAAAUUCGUUAAGGAUGUUGACGUA
rnacentral:rRNA from 1 species